CUGAUCCAGCCAUGCCGCGUGCAGGAUGACGGUCCUAUGGAUUGUAAACUGCUUUUAUACGGGAAGAAACCCUGGCUCGUGAGCCAGAUUGACGGUACCGUAGGAAUAAGGAUCGGCUAACUCCGUGCCAGCAGCCGCGGUAAU
rnacentral:rRNA from 1 species